GACGAACGCUGGCGGCGUGCUUAACACAUGCAAGUCGAACGGAAAGGCCCUGCUUUUGUGGGGUGCUCGAGUGGCGAACGGGUGAGUAACACGUGAGUAACCUGCCCUUGACUUUGGGAUAACUUCAGGAAACUGGGGCUAAUACCGGAUAGGAGCUCCUGCUGCAUGGUGGGGGUUGGAAAGUUUCGGCGGUUGUGGAUGGACUCGCGGCUUAUCAGCUUGUUGGUGGGGUAGUGGCUGACCAAGGCUUUGACGGGUAGCCGGCCUGAGAGGGUGACCGGCGACAUGGGGACUGAGAUACGGCCCAGACUGCUACGGGAGGCAGCAGGGGGGAAUAUUGCACAAUGGGCGGAAGCCUGAUGCAGCAGCGCCGCGGGCGGGAUGACGGCCUUCGGGUUGUAAACCGCUUUCGCCUGUGACGAGGCGUGGGUGACGGUAAUGGGUAAAGAAGCACCGGCUAACUACGUG
rnacentral:rRNA from 1 species